CACCGAAGGAUAGCUCAAGUCGGUAGAGCAUGAGAUUCUUAAUUUCAGGAUCGUGGGUUCAGGCCCCACGUUGGGUGA